CGGUUCCGGCUCCAAGUCUCGAUGAAUUGGAAAAUUGGUUGGGCAAAAACCUGCAUUUACCAAUAUCAUUAGCCAAUCAUUUUGGAGGUGCUUGUACUUUAAGGACCUGGUUGCUGGUCUGCAUGAAGGUGCCCAUGUGUCAACAGCAAGAACAGAACCUGUGUGCUAGUUGGUGGAUGAGCAUCAAGCCACACCUAGUGGGACCAGGUCAGGACAAUCUCUACUGAUGUUCAUCAUUCAAUUGGAUUUGUCUUGAUUGGCAGAAGAGGUGAAUCCACAUGUCAGGUUGAGGUCAGAGAGCUUGUUUUGCAUGAUGUGAUUUGAAGGUUCCUACCCAGUGCACCCACAUCUGACACUCAUCACAGUGUCGGAGGACAUGGUUGCUGUACCAAAACCACGCCCUUGAAAUGUCAAAGGUUUCUCUACCACAGCUAGUCAAUGGUGGGCUCACAGUGCAGAUCAUGUUUGAUCCUAUCGCUGCAGGCAAACUGUGAUGAUGCUGUUUGCAAGCUUCAUCAAGGAAUCAAAGCUCCCAGCUUUAGGUGUUUACCUGGAAAGCACCGAUGAGAUGGACGACGAUGCAUAUAUUCC